AAUAGAUACCCAGGUAGUCCACGCCGUAAACGAUGAGUGCUAAGUGUUAGAGGGUUUCCGCCCUUUAGUGCUGCAGCAAACGCAUUAAGCACUCCGCCUGGGGAGUACGGCCGCAAGGCUGAAACUCAAAGGAAUUGACGGGGGCCCGCACAAGCGGUGGAGCAUGUGGUUUAAUUCGAAGCAACGCGAAGAACCUUACCAGGUCUUGACAUCCUCUGACAAUCCUAGAGAUAAGACUUUCCCCUUCGGGGGACAGAGUGACAGGUGGUGCAUGGUUGUCGUCAGCUCGUGUCGUGAGAUGUUGGGUUAAGUCCCGCAACGAGCGCAACCCUUGAUCUUAGUUGCCAUCAUUCAGUUGGGCACUCUAAGGAGACUGCCGGUGAUAAACCGGAGGAAGGUGGGGAUGACGUCAAAUCAUCAUGCCCCUUAUGACCUGGGCUACACACGUGCUACAAUGGACGGUACAAACGGUUGCCAACCCGCGAGGGGGAGCUAAUCCGAUAAAACCGUUCUCAGUUCGGAUUGUAGG
rnacentral:rRNA from 1 species